GACGAACGCUGGCAGCGUGCUUAACACAUGCAAGUCGAACGGAAAGGCCUGCUUUCCCUUGUGGAUUGCGGGUACUCGAGUGGCGAACGGGUGAGUAACACGUGAGUGAUCUGCCCCCAACUUGGGUAUAAGCCUGGGAAACUGGGUCUAAUUCCCGAUAGGACUGCAGGGUGGUGCCUGUGGUGGAAAACGAUUUUCUAGUGGUUGGGGAUAAGCUCGCGGCCUAUCAGCUUGUUGGUGGGGUAAUGGCCUACCAAGGCGGCGACGGGUAGCCGGCCUGAGAGGGUGGACGGCCACAUUGGGACUGAGAUACGGCCCAGACUCCUACGGGAGGCAGCAGUGGGGAAUAUUGCACAAUGGGCGGAAGCCUGAUGCAGCGACGCCGCGUGGGGGAUGACGGCCUUCGGGUUGUAAACUCCUUUCGACCGCGAGGAAGCCACCUGGUUGGAAGGGUGGUGACGGUAGUGGUAGAAGAAGCACCGGCUAACUACGUG
rnacentral:rRNA from 1 species